UACGUAGGGUGCGAGCGUUAAUCGGAAUUACUGGGCGUAAAGCGUGCGCAGGCGGUUCGUUAAGUUCGAUGUGAAAGCCCCGGGCUCAACCUGGGAACUGCAUUGGAAACUGGCGAGCUUGAAUGCGGCAGAGGGGGGUGGAAUUCCGCGUGUAGCAGUGAAAUGCGUAGAGAUGCGGAGGAACACCGAUGGCGAAGGCAGCCCCCUGGGCCGACAUUGACGCUCAGGCACGAAAGCGUGGGGAGCAUACAGG
rnacentral:rRNA from 1 species